rnacentral:rRNA from 1 species
UACGAAGGGGGCUAGCGUUGCUCGGAAUCACUGGGCGUAAAGGGCGCGUAGGCGGCCAUUCAAGUCGGAGGUUAAAGCCCAGGGCUCAACCCUGGAAUUGCCUUCGAUACUGUCUGGCUAGAGACCGGAAGAGGUAAGUGGAACUGCGAGUGUAGAGGUGAAAUUCGUAGAUAUUCGCAAGAACACCAGUGGCGAAGGCGGCUUACUGGUCCGGUUCUGACGCUGAGGCGCGAAAGCGUGGGGAGCAAACAGG